UGCAAGUCAAAAUCAGCAGCAGCAGCAUCAAGGGACAAGGGAAUUUCACAUGUCAAUGAUGCAAAGAUUGUCAGAUACCAACCCUUUAAGGCUUAUAGCAAAUGCACCAAGAGUUGCUUCACCUUCUCCUGCUUAUCAAAAUCGUCGUCCUCCUUCAGCUCGCCCUUCACCUUCUCCUGCUUAUCAAAAUCGUCAUCCUCCUUCAGCUCGCCCUUCACCUUCUCCUGCUCAGAGUAUUCCUCCUCGCCCCUCUCCUGCUCCUUCUUCUCAGCCUCGCUCCACACCUACUCCUCAAGUAGGUCUCACAUGUAUCUUUCUUCUUUCCAUCAAUAUUCUUGUUAAAGAAUUUUGGAUUGUAGUUAUGUCUGUGUCUGUUUAUGUGUGGUGUGUGCGUGGGAUACAUGUGAAGAUUUGACAUCAAUUUUGAUUUGAUUUCUUU
rnacentral:lncRNA from 1 species